rnacentral:rRNA from 1 species
GACGAACGCUGGCGGCGUGCUUAACACAUGCAAGUCGAACGGAAAGGCCCUGCUUGCAGGGUACUCGAGUGGCGAACGGGUGAGUAACACGUGGGUGAUCUGCCCUGCACUUCGGGAUAAGCCUGGGAAACUGGGUCUAAUACCGGACAGGUGCCAUUCUUAGUCUGAUGGUUGGAAAGUUUUUUCGGUGUAGGAUGGGCUCGCGGCCUAUCAGCUUGUUGGUGGGGUAAUGGCCUACCAAGGCGGCGACCGGUAGCCGGCCUGAGAGGGGGGACGGCCACAUUAGGCCUGAGAUACGGACCAGACUCCUACGGGAGGCAGCAGUGGGGAAUAUUGCACAAUGGGCGCAAGCCUGAGGCAGCGGCGCCGCGUGGGUGAUGACGUCCUUCGGGUUGUAAACUCCUUUCGCUAGGGACGAAGCUUUUUGUGACGGUACCUAGAUAAGAAGCACCGGCUAACUACGUG